AGUUCUGUACGCUCCCCUAAUUUUCCGGCCCAUCUUCCCACUAAACACUGUUGCUACAAAACUGGGACUUUGGCAGAAUGCAGUUGACGACCUCUCUUAUAUAAUAUAAACCCUUGCAACCAAAUAUCCACCUCCAUACAUCCUUCUGUUUGUUUGCAGUACAACUCGCCUGUAACCUCCGUAUACAACCAACAGUUAUCGCCCAAUAUCUGAUUGAUAAUCAAGAAAUAUGGCGAUGUCGAGGGCGAGCUCUUGCUUUGCACACCCUUAUCGUUUCUUCACCGUUGUUGCUUAUGCGGGAUUUGGUGCUCCCCCAAUUCGUCAUCCAAAGGGUCACCUCCAAAUUCUCAAUCGAAGUCGCUUAGUUACGUUACGCCCUUUGUGAGCAGCUCCAUCAUCAGAAAGGAAGUUCAAGAAGAUGAAGACCUUCAAUUAUCAAUGGCAGUUGCUCUACUCUUCUUCUCCUUCCUUCUCAGGGUUUAUCCUGUUAUAAUAUAAACAGAUUGAUUCAUUUUGGCCUACAUUAUCGUCUUGAGUCUCUUGACUUUAAUCGUCUUUAUCACUGUCGGACUGGAUUCUGAUAACCAGUAGUCAUUGUCGAAGAACAAGGGCACCAAUUGAGGCCGACUUUGUAUCACCUCUGCCAAGAGUAUUAACGUUCACCACACAUGUCUCACCAGUUGAUGUCGGCGCCAUCUUGUGUUUGUUUGUAACUAGCAAUUGACCGCUUCUUCAAGAGCUUGCCAAGCACGGGGGCUAUCAACUACUUAUAACUAACUGAGCGAAUUAUUUGUAUGUCUUCGGAAACUUUUGGGAAAAUCACAUACCAGGCCUGCCAUUGAGAUUGCUAAUGAAUUGAAUUCUCUAUACUUACUUGCUAACUAUAUUGAGGACCAGCCUGUUUGUGGGGAUGGGUUAAAGCAGAAGAGGGAGAGAUGGGUGAAGGUUUUUCCGGUGCUAGCUGCAUACCGAGGGUACAUAUAGAAGUAAGAGGAAAACAAGCUUGAUCUUGACCAUGACUAAUCAACAGUCAUCAACUUGUUGUUGAACUAUAACCGUGAAGGUAUUUCAAUGAGACCAUUUCAUGUUUUAGUACUCUAUUAGUUAUGUUUUCUAUCGUUUUGUGGUUGUAAACUGUUGACGUUCGUCUUCCUUUUAUAAAUUAAAGAAUAGUGCUUUUGUUUGUCAAGUUGUUUAAUUUUGUGCACACUAAAUAUAGGUUAGCUUUGUUUGUCACGUUGUUCAUAUAAUUUUGUGUAAUUUAACUCUAUUUUAUUUCUUCAUGUUGUUAUAAUAUAAUACAUCAACGUAACCCGUCCACCGGACGGGUAUUAAACUAGUUA